CCCUUAGACGUUCUGGGCCGCACGCGCGCUACACUGACGAAGGCAACGAGCUUUCCUUUACCGAAAGGUACGGGUAAUCUUUUGAAACUUCGUCGUGCUGGGGAUAGAUCCUUGCAAUUUUUGAUCUUAAACGAGGAAUUCCUAGUAAGCGCAAGUCAUCAACUUGCGUUGAUUACGUCCCUGCCCUUUGUACACACCGCCCGUCGCUACUACCGAUUGAAUGGUUUAGUGAGGCCUUCGGAUCCGCGACUCGUUUUGUGGAGAAGUUGGACAAACUCAGUCAUUUAGAGGAAGUAAAAGCCGUAACA
rnacentral:rRNA from 1 species